rnacentral:lncRNA from 1 species
GUCAAACUUUCUGUAGCCCAUGGUACCUUCUACACAUAGAGUAUAUUAAAUAUGUAAAAAUUCCUCCUAUGAAAUCCACACAAUGUUCAAUCAAAGAAUAUAAGAGGAAAACACUUUUUUUUUUUUUGAGGAAGAUUAACCCUGAGCUAACUGCUGCCAAUCCUCUUUUUGCUGAGGAAGACGGGCCCUGAGCUAACAUCCGUGCUCAUCUUCCUCUACUUUAUACGUGGGGACGCCUACCACAGCAUGACUUUUUGCCAAGAGGCACCAUGUCCGCAGCCGGGAUCUGAACCAGCGAACCCUGAGCCACCAAGAAGCAAAAGGCACGCACUUAACCACUGUGCCACCAGGCCAGCCCCAUGGAAAAAACUCUUGAAUUUAAUUUUGUGACAGGGGAAUGUGAUGGAAGCAGGAAAGCCCCAGACAAUAGUUGCAAACAGAAAAGAAAAUGAUUAUAGAAAAUGAUCCUGUCAGAGGAGAGGCCUCAAGGAAGUCAUAACCUUGAUUAAGCAUCGAAUUCUUUCAUGAAUAUGGAGUACUUGCCUUUGACAGCUCUGUCAGUUUGUGAGCUCGACCACAAAGCCUAAUCAGGGUUCAAAGACUGGUGAGAAUGACAACUCAGACUCAGCUAAAGUUGCUGUCAGUUCGGUUUACCACCGUCCUGGCAAAUAAGGAAUACGAAGGAUACACAAGAUGAGGAUGUGUGUCGGGGAGAAAAAGCUGCUGGCGCACUCCAAGUGCCUUGCUGUGGGUGACUGGGAUAAAACUCUUUGUUGAAUGAGUCCCAUGUGGAAUGAAAAAUUAAACACGUCAGA